CGACCGGCGCACGGGUGAGUAACACGUAUGCAACCUGGCCGCCACAGGGGGAUAACCCGCGGAAACGCGGCCUAAUACCCCGUGACGCCACCGGAGGGCAUCCUCCGGUGGCCAAAGGAGCGAUCCGGUGGCGGAUGGGCAUGCGGCGCAUUAGCUAGACGGCGGGGUGACGGCCCACCGUGGCGACGAUGCGUAGGGGUUCUGAGAGGAAGGUCCCCCACACUGGUACUGAGACACGGACCAGACUCCUACGGAAGGCAGCAG
rnacentral:rRNA from 1 species